CGAUAGCGAAGAGGUCACACCCGUUCCCAUACCGAACACGGAAGUUAAGCUCUUCAGCGCCGAUGGUAGUCGGGGGUUUCCCCCUGUGAGAGUAGGACGCCGCCAAGC
rnacentral:rRNA from 4 species